CCUACGGGUGGCAGCAGUGGGGAAUAUUGGACAAUGGGCGAAAGCCUGAUCCAGCCAUGCCGCGUGUGUGAAGAAGGCCUUCGGGUUGUAAAGCACUUUCAGUGGGGAAGAAAGCCUUGGGGCUAAUACCCUCGAGGAAGGACAUCACCCACAGAAGAAGCACCGGCUAACUCCGUGCCAGCAGCCGCGGUAAUACGGAGGGUGCGAGCGUUAAUCGGAAUUACUGGGCGUAAAGCGCGCGUAGGCGGUCUGAUAAGCCGGUUGUGAAAGCCCCGGGCUCAACCUGGGAACGGCAUCCGGAACUGUCAGGCUAGAGUGCAGGAGAGGAAGGUAGAAUUCCCGGUGUAGCGGUGAAAUGCGUAGAGAUCGGGAGGAAUACCAGUGGCGAAGGCGGCCUUCUGGACUGACACUGACGCUGAGGUGCGAAAGCGUGGGUAGCAAACAGGAUUCGAUACCCUGGUAGUC
rnacentral:rRNA from 1 species